UACGAGGAGAGCGAGCGUUAUCCGGAAUUAUUGGGCGUAAAGCGUGCGCAAGCGGAUUUGUAAGUUACGUGUUAAAUCCUGGAGCUUAACUUCAGAAUCGCGCGUGAUACUGCUUAUCUUGAGACAAACAGAGGCAGACGGAAUUCCCGGUGUAGUAGUGAAAUGCGCUGAUAUCGGGAGGAACACCAAAAGCGAAAGCAGUCUGCUGGGUUUGUUCUGACGCCGAUGCACGACAGCGUGGGGAGCAAACGGG
rnacentral:rRNA from 1 species